rnacentral:rRNA from 1 species
ACGUAGGGGGCAAGCGUUGUCCGGAAUCAUUGGGCGUAAAGCGCGUGUAGGCGGUUACGUAAGUCUGCUGUGAAAGUCGGAGGCUCAACCUUCGAAAGCCGGUGGAUACUGCGUGACUAGAGUACGGAAGAGGAGAGUGGAAUUCCUGGUGUAGCGGUGAAAUGCGCAGAUAUCAGGAGGAACACCAACGGCGAAGGCAGCUCUCUGGGACGUUACUGACGCUGAGACGCGAAAGCGUGGGGAGCAAACAGGAUUAGAUACCCUGGUAGUCCACGCCGUAAACGAUGGUCACUAGAUGUGGGGGGUGUCGACUCCCCCCGUGUCGUAGCUAACGCGUUAAGUGACCCGCCUGGGGAGUACGGCCGCAAGGCUA